CUCUCACAUACGCGCACGCAGAGGCCGGAGUGCGCAGCAGAGUUUAAAUGUAGUCGCAAGCACACCUUCGCCAUUUCUGCAAGCUUGCCAGAAUCAUAAGCCCUCGCCUCCGUUACACUGUUUCACACAAAAGAAAUAUCUCCACAAGAAACCCUCCACUUUUGCACGUGAUUACGACAUACAUUACUCAUGGAGCCGAUGAUUGAUCCGAGCUCAUCAAUUCCGGAACUAAUCAAAUUUAUUAAGCACUCAUUUCGCGAGUGCGAGUUUGAUGAGGUGCAGAAUACAUUGAUGGAGCGGGAAAAAAGUAUGAAAGUUGAAAUGGAAAAGCUUGUCAGAGAAUGUGAUGAACUGAAGAAACAGGUUGAUUUCCUGGAGCGCUCUAAGGGCUAUUCGGAGUUGGAGAAAUGUGAUCUGGAGGAGAAGCUGAGAGAGAAUCAGAAGAAAGGUGAGGAGUUGGAUAAAAUGAUCGUCCAAACGAACGAGAAAUUUGAGAAAUUGAGGAGCGAAAAACACGAUGUUGAGAACGAGCUGGUGAGGAGUAUUGGAAAAUGCGAGGAGAUGGAUGAACGGCUCGUCAAAAUGGGAAAGGAGAUUGAGGAAUUGAGGCGAGAGAGCCUUUGUGCAAAUAAAACCAUAGAGGAGUUGAAGGCAAAGGAGAUUGAGGCUGAUCGCGUUGCACAUGAACUGAAGCGCCAAAAUAAUGAGGCAGCAGCAGCUACUGACGCUGAACUGGAGAAGAAUUUGCAGCAUGGAGAGGUGAACCCGGAAGAAGAUAGGGCUACCGAGUCACCUGAAUUUCCUGCAAUUUCUGGUUCACACACAAGUGUAAUGCAAUCGGGUGGUGAAGCGCCUGCAGAGAAGAUAGUAGCUUCAUCUUCCGCUGCUGGCAAGGUUGUGAUCGUCAUAUGUGAUAGUGACAGCGAUGAUGAAACUCGUAUUCCUGACACUUCGUCUGGGCAGACAAAGAGGAGGAAAAUAAGCACAUCUGCUACGCCAUCUCGCUGUUGUUCAUUGCCCAGCAGCAGAGUUGAAGAAAGAGCUGGUGCUUUUCAAAAGUCUCGUACCGUAGAUCGUAUUGAUUCUACAGAUUCGGAUGGUUCAAUCUCAGCUGGCUGCAUGAACAACCUCAUUGCGACAAUUGAAAGUAAAGGAAACAACAAAAAAGGUUAGUCGUCGUGGUUGCUUAUUUUCUCUUGUAUAGUCACAGUUGGCCAGGGGUGCAACUUCAGUUCAAUCUAGCUCAAUGUUAGAGCGCAUUGUAGGCUCUAGGGUUUCGAGCACAGGACAGACUACUCUGACGAUUACAUCUCAUGGUGCAAUCUAUCCAUAUAAUGUGGUUCCAAGUGCAUGUACUCGUAUUUUCAAAAAAGUGAGAAAUCCAAGGGGUUUCAAUUGGAAACUGACGCCGGAGACGGUUAAGAAGAAUUAUUUUAAUGAAUUCAAAAAGCAUUUCACAUGGGAUGCGACGAUCAAUGAUGCAAUAUACAAACUCUGGUUGGAAAUUGCGGCCCGAAGGUAUAAAGACUUUGUGUACGAGAUCAAGGCCAAAAGAGAUGAUCCGGAAAAUGCAAGGCCCCUGUCCAUUCAUAAGGAUGAGUGGCCUGAGUGGCUCGCUUAUUGGGAGACUGAUGCCUUCAAACUGAAAUCCGAGAAAGCAAAAAAGUGUAGAAUGUCUGAGCCCGGAGGUGUGGGAACAGGACAAGUGAAGCACAAAGGAGGCUCCAAAUCUGUUCUUCAAUACGCUGAUGAAUUGGCAAGACAUAAGGGAGUUAACCCUACGAAGUGCCUCUUCGAUGUUUAUUCUAUCCUCCACGUGAACGAGGAUGGAACUUACACUGACAUGAAAUCUGAAAGCAUUGGGACGAAGGUCCAGGAAUUGGUUAGCCAACAAAGUCAGCCAAUGGAGCUAUUGAGCCACAAGAGGUGGAUAUGGCAAAAAUUUACGUCGAAGCUGUUGGUGGGUUGAAUAAAAAGAAGAGAAUGUUCGGUGUUGGUGGGCUAGCAACGAGCUUUAUGAAUGAAGAUUUGGGUAGAACAUCUCAAUUCCACCCUCCGGCUCAUGACCAACGCUUGGUCGAUGUGGAGCAGCAACUACAACAAGAACGAGAGGAACAUCGACAGAAGAAGGAGCAAUUGGGGGCCCAUUUGGCUGCUCAACAUCAACUUCUUGAGCAAUUGUGCGCUCAAUCAGGACUUCCACCACCACCACCACCUCCUCUUUUCCCUUAACUAUUUUGUGUAAUGGAUACAUUGAAACAUAGUUUCUAUACUUUGGACACU